rnacentral:lncRNA from 1 species
AUAAUCCUACAGAUUACAGCCGGUUGUUUUACAAGCUCACAACCCAACUUGUUGUUUUAUGAGCGCACAACGAACUCGGUCGGUUUUCCCAGGCUCACUGACUAGAACCUCCCCGAUUGUUUUCCCGGGCUCAUAAUCAAAUCCUUACACGUUGGUUUUACCCUCGGCUCACCAACAAACCUAUCACCGUUGGUUUUUCCCUUUGGCUCACCAACAAACCUUACACCGUUGGUUUUCCCUUUGGCUCACCAACAAACCUUAAGCCCUUGAUUCAAUCCCUUGAUUGAAUCAAGUUACAAGAUAUUAAAAUAAAGGUUUAAAACAAAUCAAAGCUUCUUAAACAAGCAAAUAUAACAAUAUAAA